GGGAGAAAACAAAAACCUUAAAACAAUCUGGCUGCAUAGGUGUGCACACCCUCUUAUAACUGGGGAUGUGGCUGUGUUCAGAAUUAACCAAUCACAUUCAAACUCAUGUUAAACAGAAGUCAUUACACACUUGCCAUCAUUUAAAGUGGCUCUGAUUAAUCACAAAUAAAGUUCAGCUGUUCCAGUAGGAUUUUCCUGACAUUUUCUUAGUUGCAUCUCAGAGCAAAAGC